rnacentral:lncRNA from 1 species
GAAAUUGCUCCUCAACCACGUGAGUUUCUUCACGAAACCCUGAAUCAGUUGCUGUUCUUUGUUUUUGCUUUGUCAAAGGGCCAUUGUUUUUGACAAAAAUGGAAAAUAAAAAAGAAAUUGUUGGUAUUCAAAAAGUAAGGAACAAAAUCUGAGAGAAAAAAGUAGGGGUUUUAAUCAGAGACAAGCGUGAGUGAUAGAUCAGAGCCAUUGAUUGGUUUGCCAUUUCUUAGCGAAGAGAGUUUUUGUUUGAUGACAGAGA